rnacentral:rRNA from 1 species
GGGUUGUGAGGUUAAGCGACUAAGCGUACACGGUGGAUGCCCUGGCAGUCAGAGGCGAUGAAGGACGUGCUAAUCUGCGAAAAGCGUCGGUAAGGUGAUAUGAACCGUUACAGCCGGCGAUGUCCGAAUGGGGAAACCCAGUGCAAUUCGUUGCACUAUCGUUAACUGAAUACAUAGGUUAACGAGGCGAACCGGGGGAACUGAAACAUCUAAGUACCCCGAGGAAAAGAAAUCAACCGAGAUUCCCCCAGUAGCGGCGAGCGAACGGGGAGCAGCCCAGAGUCUGAAUCAGCUUGUGUGUUAGUGGAACGGUCUGGAAAGUCCGACGGUACAGGGUGAUAGUCCCGUACACCAAAAUGCACAGGCUGUGAACUCGAAGAGUAGGGCGGGACACGUGGUAUCCUGUCUGAAUAUGGGGGGACCAUCCUCCAAGGCUAAAUACUCCUGACUGACCGAUAGUGAACCAGUACCGUGAGGGAAAGGCGAAAAGAACCCCGGCGAGGGGAGUGAAAAAGAACCUGAAACCGUGUACGUACAAGCAGUGGGAGCACCUUCGGGUGUGACUGCGUACCUUUUGUAUAAUGGGUCAGCGACUUAUAUUCUGUAGCAAGGUUAACCGUAUAGGGGAGCCGCAGGGAAACCGAGUCUUAACUGGGCGUUAAGUUGCAGGGUAUAGACCCGAAACCCGGUGAUCUAGCCAUGGGCAGGUUGAAGGUUGGGUAACACUAACUGGAGGACCGAACCGACUAAUGUUGAAAAAUUAGCGGAUGACUUGUGGCUGGGGGUGAAAGGCCAAUCAAACCGGGAGAUAGCUGGUUCUCCCCGAAAGCUAUUUAGGUAGCGCCUCGUGAAUUCAUCUUCGGGGGUAGAGCACUGUUUCGGCUAGGGGGUCAUCCCGACUUACCAACCCGAUGCAAACUACGAAUACCGAAGAAUGUUAUCACGGGAGACACACGGCGGGUGCUAACGUCCGUCGUGAAGAGGGAAACAACCCAGACCGCCAGCUAAGGUCCCAAAGUCAUGGUUAAGUGGGAAACGAUGUGGGAAGGCACAGACAGCCAGGAUGUUGGCUUAGAAGCAGCCAUCAUUUAAAGAAAGCGUAAUAGCUCACUGGUCGAGUCGGCCUGCGCGGAAGAUGUAACGGGGCUAAACCAUGCACCGAAGCUGCGGCAGCGACACUAUGUGUUGUUGGGUAGGGGAGCGUUCUGUAAGCCUGCGAAGGUGUGCUGUGAGGCAUGCUGGAGGUAUCAGAAGUGCGAAUGCUGACAUAAGUAACGAUAAAGCGGGUGAAAAGCCCGCUCGCCGGAAGACCAAGGGUUCCUGUCCAACGUUAAUCGGGGCAGGGUGAGUCGACCCCUAAGGCGAGGCCGAAAGGCGUAGUCGAUGGGAAACAGGUUAAUAUUCCUGUACUUGGUGUUACUGCGAAGGGGGGACGGAGAAGGCUAUGUUAGCCGGGCGACGGUUGUCCCGGUUUAAGCAUGUAGGCUGGUUAUCCAGGCAAAUCCGGAUAAUCAAGGCUGAGGUGUGAUGACGAGGCACUACGGUGCUGAAGUAACAAAUGCCCUGCUUCCAGGAAAAGCCUCUAAGCAUCAGGUAACAUCAAAUCGUACCCCAAACCGACACAGGUGGUCAGGUAGAGAAUACCAAGGCGCUUGAGAGAACUCGGGUGAAGGAACUAGGCAAAAUGGUGCCGUAACUUCGGGAGAAGGCACGCUGGUGUGUAGGUGAAGUCCCUGCGGAUGGAGCUGAGACCAGUCGAAGAUACCAGCUGGCUGCAACUGUUUAUUAAAAACACAGCACUGUGCAAACACGAAAGUGGACGUAUACGGUGUGACGCCUGCCCGGUGCCGGAAGGUUAAUUGAUGGGGUUAUCCGUAAGGAGAAGCUCUUGAUCGAAGCCCCGGUAAACGGCGGCCGUAACUAUAACGGUCCUAAGGUAGCGAAAUUCCUUGUCGGGUAAGUUCCGACCUGCACGAAUGGCGUAAUGAUGGCCAGGCUGUCUCCACCCGAGACUCAGUGAAAUUGAACUCGCUGUGAAGAUGCAGUGUACCCGCGGCAAGACGGAAAGACCCCGUGAACCUUUACUAUAGCUUGACACUGAACAUUGAGCCUUGAUGUGUAGGAUAGGUGGGAGGCUUUGAAGCGUGGACGCCAGUCUGCGUGGAGCCAACCUUGAAAUACCACCCUUUAAUGUUUGAUGUUCUAACGUUGGCCCCUUACCGGGGUUGCGGACAGUGUCUGGUGGGUAGUUUGACUGGGGCGGUCUCCUCCCAAAGCGUAACGGAGGAGCACGAAGGUUAGCUAAUCCUGGUCGGACAUCAGGAGGUUAGUGCAAUGGCAUAAGCUAGCUUGACUGCGAGCGUGACGGCGCGAGCAGGUGCGAAAGCAGGUCAUAGUGAUCCGGUGGUUCUGAAUGGAAGGGCCAUCGCUCAACGGAUAAAAGGUACUCCGGGGAUAACAGGCUGAUACCGCCCAAGAGUUCAUAUCGACGGCGGUGUUUGGCACCUCGAUGUCGGCUCAUCACAUCCUGGGGCUGAAGUAGGUCCCAAGGGUAUGGCUGUUCGCCAUUUAAAGUGGUACGCGAGCUGGGUUUAGAACGUCGUGAGACAGUUCGGUCCCUAUCUGCCGUGGGCGCUGGAGAAUUGAGGGGGGCUGCUCCUAGUACGAGAGGACCGGAGUGGACGCAUCACUGGUGUUCGGGUUGUCAUGCCAAUGGCACUGCCCGGUAGCUAAAUGCGGAAGAGAUAAGUGCUGAAAGCAUCUAAGCACGAAACUUGCCCCGAGAUGAGUUCUCCCUGAGACUUUAAGUCUCCUGAAGGAACGUUGAAGACGACGACGUUGAUAGGCCGGGUGUGUAAGCGCAGCGAUGCGUUGAGCUAACCGGUACUAAUGAACCGUGAGGCUUAACCUUACAACGCCGAAG